UGUUACUCAUCAAAAGAAUCUUCUGCUGGCAAAGAAAAGCCUUCCUUUUUGUUUCUUCAUAUGAAUUACUAAAUGUUAACUAAUGCUCAGUGUUCUCACUGUCUGACUACCUCAUUCUAAAUCUUGAGCAUACCAGCUGGUACUAAAUUGCCUUUUUACUAACUUGGGCCUUAUGAAAAAGACAAUGGUUAACAAAUGUGGUCAAUUAAAGGUUUAUUUUUAUUUCCUCAAGGUGAGACAUAGUCAAUUAUCUCACCUGUUUAGAAGAGUUGACUUCAUGUUAACCCAAUUAAAUAUUUUAAGCAGUGACUAUAUUAUCUUUUUCUUCUAGCACAGCUGCCCCUUAGAGUGAGAAGAAGAACUUCGCUGCACUGAGUACUUUGCUUGUACAGAGAGCAGCUGCACCGCUCCAGUAGUGCACUGAGGCUGCCUUUCUGACUUCUGUUGGGUCUGGGGGUUGUCCUGUCACGAAACCUGGAAGUAGACAUUGCUUGAGUGCAACAUCACAAGUAUGGAUGAUUACUGCAAUCUACACUUCCGCCACCUUGGACAGGCAGGUCCCCAAAGGCUUACAGUUAAAGCAGGUGCCAUCAACGAAUCACCUGUGACAAUGGGCCUCAUCUUUAACAGAGUGGACCUGGUGGAGAGGAUGUGUUGGGCUUGUUUCUUCAGUCUUCUCUUCACCCUGUGGAGUUUCUAAGGCUUUGUAACUUUGCCAAAUAUCAAGCAGGAGGAGAAAGUCAUUCCAAAGGAGAGAACCUUGAUUCAAAACAAAUACAUGCAACAAUGGCAAAAUGAGUACAGAAUAUUAAUUGACCUAAAUUUCACUUUACAUAAACAUUCUCUUCUAAACUCUGUGAAAGUUGCUCCUUAGUGUAAAUAUAUGCACAAGAGUACAGCACUGAAUAUCACUCAAUUUGUAGGAAAUUUUUCAACCUAGGACCCCAAACAAGUCAUGCCAUGAAAGGCAGAAAGGAUGCCAAAAAGUUGUUUUCCUCAGUCCCACUUGAAUUUGUGCAAAACCAGAUUUUGAUGUAUUUCCCACUUUGCCAAAAGCACAAAAUUGAAUAUUUCCCUUGUUAUUAAGUUCUCCAUAGAGAGGCUAUUUUUAGAUAUAUCAUUCAUUUCUUGAAUCAUAUUGGAGAUAGAUAAAUAAGAAACAGGUAGUGUUCCGUUUAAUUUUAAUAUUUAUUUCAACAUAUGCUUUCUUCCCACAGUUUUUAAAGUACAUUCAUAUUAAAUGGAAAGUAAAGCACAGGCAUAGGUACUGAAUAUGUUUUGUUGUUGUUGUUUUUUUAGUGUUUACAGGAAGAACUUGGAAAGAAAUGAUGUUCCGU
rnacentral:lncRNA from 1 species